UACGUAGGGACCAAGCGUUGUUCGGAUUUACUGGGCGUAAAGGGUGCGUAGGCGGCAAUUCAAGUCAGCUGUGAAAUCUCCGGGCUUAACUCGGAACGGUCAGCUGAUACUGCUUUGCUAGAGUGCAGAAGGGGCAAUCGGAAUUCUUGGUGUAGCGGUGAAAUGCGUAGAUAUCAAGAGGAACACCUGAGGUGAAGACGGGUUGCUGGGCUGACACUGACGCUGAGGCGCGAAAGCUAGGGUAGCAAACGGG
rnacentral:rRNA from 1 species